GACGAACGCUGGCGGCGUGCCUAAUACAUGCAAGUCGAGCGAAGUUUUUCUGGUGCUUGCACUAGAAAAACUUAGCGGCGAACGGGUGAGUAACACGUAAAGAACCUGCCUCAUAGACUGGGACAACUAUUGGAAACGAUAGCUAAUACCGGAUAACAGUAUUUCUCGCAUGAGAGAUAUUUAAAAGUUGGUUAUGCUAACACUAUGAGAUAGCUUUGCGGUGCAUUAGCUAGUUGGUGGGGUAAAGGCCCACCAAGGCGACGAUGCAUAGCCGACCUGAGAGGGUGAUCGGCCACACUGGGACUGAGACACGGCCCAGACUCCUACGGGAGGCAGCAGUAGGGAAUCUUCCGCAAUGGGCGAAAGCCUGACGGAGCAACGCCGCGUGAGUGAAGAAGGAUUUCGGUUCGUAAAGCUCUGUUGUUAGGGAAGAAUGGAUAUGUAGUAACUAUACAUGUAAGAGACGGUACCUAACCAGAAAGCCACGGCUAACUACGUG
rnacentral:rRNA from 1 species